CCGCGGUAAAACGUAGGAGGCGAGCGUUAUCCGGAUUCACUGGGCGUAAAGCGCGUGCAGGCGGUUUGGUAAGUUGGGCGUGAAAGCUCCCGGCUCAACUGGGAGAGGUCGUCCAAAACUACCAGACUAGAGAGCGAUAGAGGAAAAUGGAAUUCCCGGUGUAGUGGUGAAAUGCGUAGAUAUCGGGAGGAACACCAGUGGCGGAGGCGAUUUUCUGGAUCGUUUCUGACGCUCAGACGCGAAAGCUAGG
rnacentral:rRNA from 1 species